ACGAACGCUGGCGGCGUGCUUAACACAUGCAAGUCGAACGAAGCUUGAUUUAAGAUUUCUUCGGAAUGAUUAAUGAUAUGACUGAGUGGCGGACGGGUGAGUAACGCGUGAGUAACCUGCCCUUCAGAGGGGGAUAGCGUUUGGAAACGAACGGUAAUACCGCAUAAUGUAUUUUGACCGCAUGAUCGAAAUACCAAAGCGUUAGCGCUGAAGGAUGGACUCGCGUCUGAUUAGAUAGUUGGUGGGGUAACGGCCUACCAAGUCGACGAUCAGUAGCCGGACUGAGAGGUUGAUCGGCCACAUUGGGACUGAGACACGGCCCAGACUCCUACGGGAGGCAGCAGUGGGGAAUAUUGCACAAUGGGCGCAAGCCUGAUGCAGCAACGCCGCGUGAAGGAAGACGGUUUUCGGAUUGUAAACUUCUGUUCUUAGUGAAGAAUAAUGACGGUAGCUAAGGAGCAAGCCACGGCUAACUACGUGCCAGCAGCCGCGGUAAUACGUAGGUGGCAAGCGUUGUCCGGAAUUACUGGGUGUAAAGGGAGCGUAGGCGGGUGAGCAAGUCAGCUGUGAAAACUACGGGCUUAACCUGUAGACUGCAGUUGAAACUGUCCAUCUUGAGUGAAGUAGAGGUUGGCGGAAUUCCGAGUGUAGCGGUGAAAUGCGUAGAUAUAUGGAGGAACACCAGUGGCGAAGGCGACGAUCUGGCGCAUAACUGACGCUCAGUCCCGAAAGCGUGGGGAGCAAAUAGGAUUAGAUACCCUAGUAGUCCACGCCGUAAACGAUGAGUGCUAGGUGUUGGAUCCUUUCCGGGAUUCAGUGCCGCAGCUAACGCAUUAAGCACUCCGCCUGGGGAGUACGACCGCAAGGUUGAAACUCAAAGGAAUUGACGGGGACCCGCACAAGCAGUGGAUUAUGUGGUUUAAUUCGAAGCAACGCGAAGAACCUUACCAGCACUUGACAUCCAACUAACGAAAUAGAGAUAUAUUAGGUGCCCUUCGGGGAAAGUUGAGACAGGUGGUGCAUGGUUGUCGUCAGCUCGUGUCGUGAGAUGUUGGGUUAAGUCCCGCAACGAGCGCAACCCCUGCCAUUAGUUGCUACGCAAGAGCACUCUAAUGGGACCGCUACCGACAAGGUGGAGGAAGGUGGGGACGACGUCAAAUCAUCAUGCCCCUUAUAUGCUGGGCUACACACGUAAUACAAUGGCCAUUAACAAAGAGAAGCAAUACCGCGAGGUGGAGCAAAACUUCAAAAAUGGUCCCAGUUCGGACUGCAGGCUGCAACCCGCCUGCACGAAGUUGGAAUUGCUAGUAAUCGUGGAUCAGCAUGCCACGGUGAAUACGUUCCCGGGUCUUGUACACACCGCCCGUCACACCAUGGGAGCCGGUAACACCCGAAGUCAGUAGUCUAACCGCAAGGAGGACGCUGCCGAAGGUGGGAUUGGCGACUGGGGUG
rnacentral:rRNA from 1 species